rnacentral:rRNA from 1 species
GUGUGUUAGUGGAAGCGUCUGGAAAGGCGUGCGAUACAGGGUGACAGCCCCGUACACAAAAAUGCACAUAUUGUGAGCUCGAUGAGUAGGGCGGGACACGUGGUAUCCUGUCUGAAUAUGGGGGGACCAUCCUCCAAGGCUAAAUACUCCUGACUGACCGAUAGUGAACCAGUACCGUGAGGGAAAGGCGAAAAGAACCCCGGCGAGGGGAGUGAAAAAGAACCUGAAACCGUGUACGUACAAGCAGUGGGAGCCUCUUAAUGGGGUGACUGCGUACCUUUUGUAUAAUGGGUCAGCGACUUAUAUUCUGUAGCAAGGUUAACCGAAUAGGGGAGCCGAAGGGAAACCGAGUCUUAACUGGGCGUUAAGUUGCAGGGUAUAGACCCGAAACCCGGUGAUCUAGCCAUGGGCAGGUUGAAGGUUGGGUAACACUAACUGGAGGACCGAACCGACUAAUGUUGAAAAAUUAGCGGAUGACUUGUGGCUGGGGGUGAAAGGCCAAUCAAACCGGGAGAUAGCUGGUUCUCCCCGAAAGCUAUUUAGGUAGCGCCUCGUGAAUUCAUCUCCGGGGGUAGAGCACUGUUUCGGCAAGGGGGUCAUCCCGACUUACCAACCCGAUGCAAACUGCGAAUACCGGAGAAUGUUAUCACGGGAGACACACGGCGGGUGCUAACGUCCGUCGUGAAGAGGGAAACAACCCAGACCGCCAGCUAAGGUCCCAAAGUCAUGGUUAAGUGGGAAACGAUGUGGGAAGGCCCAGACAGCCAGGAUGUUGGCUUAGAAGCAGCCAUCAUUUAAAGAAAGCGUAAUAGCUCACUGGUCGAGU